UACGUAGGGGGCAAGCGUUGUCCGGAAUUAUUGGGCGUAAAGAGCUCGUAGGCGGCUCGGUAAGUCAGGUGUCAAAUCCUCAGGCUCAACCUGGGGCUCCACCUGAUACUGCUGUGGCUAGAGUCCGGUAGGGGAGCGUGGAAUUCCUGGUGUAGCGGUGAAAUGCGCAGAUAUCAGGAGGAACACCAGCGGCGAAGGCGGCGCUCUGGGCCGGAACUGACGCUGAGGAGCGAAAGCGUGGGUAGCAAACAGG
rnacentral:rRNA from 1 species